rnacentral:rRNA from 1 species
GUUCCCGGGCCUUGUACACACCGCCCGUCACACCACGAGAGUUUGUAACACCCGAAGUCGGUGAGGUAACCGUAAGGAGCCAGCCGCCGAAGGUGGGACAGAUGAUUGGGGUGAAGUCGUAACAAGGUAGCCGUAUCGGAAGGUGCGGCUGGAUCACCUCCUUUCUAAGGA